UUAAAAUACGAGGUCACGCGACAUGAUGGCAAACACGAGUGAAGCACCGCAACGUGGCGAGAUAAUGAUGAAAGUUGGAAUUAUGAACGUAUCAGGGACCCACCUUGUGAAGUCUUGAAUGUACUUGAAGGUAUUUUACACCAUAGGUUGAUUAUAAUUACCAUGACGAGACCUUUACCACUUCGUGCAAGUCCUUCUUGCAAAUUUGCUGGUUGUUUGUUCAACUGUUCUUGCCUUCUACGUUGAUAAUCUUUAUCAAAUGUGAGAGCAGCGAUACCCUUACCUGUGAAAUAUUUCAAUUUCAUAUACUCAUUCGUGGAAUAGCCCACUACUGAAUCUAUCAGUAAGUAUAGAAAUGUAUUAUUCCCUAACAAUAUUAAAUAAUAGUGAAACUUUUAAAUUCGUGGAAUAGCCCACUACUGAAUCUAUCAGUAAGUAUAGAAAUGUAUUAUUCCCUAACAAUAUUAAAUAAUAGUGAAACUUUUAAAUUUUCCAGUGAUUAUUGAAGUUGCAAAGACGUGCUUCAAUUUUAAGAUUCAAUCCAUUCGAAAAUUAAUAUAUAGAAAGUAGAAUU